CACGUAGGGGGCGAGCGUUGUCCGGAUUUAUUGGGCGUAAAGAGCUCGUAGGCGGUUCAGUAAGUCAGGUGUGAAAACUCCAGGCUCAACCUGGAGACGCCACUUGAUACUGCUGUGGCUAGAGUCCGGUAGGGGAGCAUGGAAUUCCUGGUGUAGCGGUGAAAUGCGCAGAUAUCAGGAGGAACACCAGUGGCGAAGGCGGUGCUCUGGGCCGGAACUGACGCUGAGGAGCGAAAGCGUGGGGAGCAAACAGG
rnacentral:rRNA from 1 species